rnacentral:tRNA from 1 species
CCAGGUAGCUCAGUCGGUAGAGCAGAGGACUGAAAAUCCUCGUGUCGGCGGUUCGAUUCCGUCCCUGGGCACCA